AGACGAUUACGUGCUCAAGAGCACAGAACGGACCCCAUAAAGAUCAUUCGAAGGACCAUAGGAUCAGCGUGUGUGUUGUAAUUUUUUAGAAACAAGCUUCACGCCCCGCCUCCAACGCACGCAGGGAAACAAACCCGUAGCUGAGGGAGAGGACGCCGACACCCCAGAUCAGAGGUGGCCCCCAGGGCACAGAGCCGCCGGCACCCAGGCGGGUGUGCAGGGGACCGGCAUCAGGGCGGUGGCCGACGCUCCCCUACUACACAACUACGCACAGCGGCACAGCACAGGUCCUUCCGGAGCCGGGGAAGACGCACGGCCUCCGCCGCCCGUGGGAACCCGGCAAGAACACUUUCCCGGGGGAGGAAGCAGAGGAAAAAGAUCCAUCAUCCGGACAUCGGCUUUCGGGGCUGUCUUGGUGGAUCUUCCCGACAAAGGCUCAGUCUCGCCGCCACGCGCGAGCGAAGGAAAACGGGGACAAGUGGGGGCGGAGGCGGCAGCUGGGGAGGACCGCGCCGGAGUCUGGAGAGCCGGGCGGAAGGAACCGACGAGAGGGGCCGCGUGGAGCGGAGGCCUUAGGCGGGAAAGCGAGCGAGCAGCGGGCCCCGCAGGCCCCGCUCACUGCCACGGGCGCGGCCCGGCGAGCGUCCUUCUCCCCAGACGGCUCUUCUUUCCGUCCCGAUCUUUAUUUACAGGGAAGUAAGAGCCAUCAGCUCCCCGUCGGGGCGAAAAGAAAGGGGGCUUCGGCGAGCGCCCCCCCCCCCCCGAUGGCGCGGGACCCUUCAGAGGGAUCCACACCGCCGCCCCUUCCGCGUCCGCGCCCCCGGGAGUAGGGGCGGGGCGCACCCAAGGCCCCCCUGUCGCCGUCACCCCACGGAGGUUUGUGCUUCCAACGGCGCCCCGGAGGAACGGCGCGACACCCCACCACUGCCAGUGCCCUCCCGCCUUUCUUCUGGGGCGACGCGCGCCUCGCACGGCGCGCCCGCCCUUUACCUCAGCGAGGCCAUGGGCUCCAGCCUCUGCCCACUCUGUGCGCCGGAAAGCCCGCGGGGUCUCGAGCGCCCCAGUGGAGGGGGCGGGGCUCAGCCAGCCGAGGCCGGAAAAGGCGGGAAAGGCCCUGAUUGGCUAAGAGUUUCCAAGCCGCCAGUUCCACCAUCGUCGGUCUAUCCCCGGCUCUGACAGCACCCCUCCCCACCAGCUUCCCCUCGGGCACCUGUCGCUGGAAGGAAUGAAAGCCCCGCGGCGGUUCUCGGCAAGCAGAACAACUUUUCCCCACCAGAGAAAGCCUGGAAUCUGAGCUGGUUUCUUGUGAGGUUAGCAUCCAGGAAAGGGUGAAUGAACUGCGUCGGGGGGAGUCUGAGCCGGUUCCAAAUUAGAGAGAACCUUUGGCAUCCAUCAUACCAGCCCUGCCUUCUCCAAAGGGUGAGAGUGAGGAUCCGGUGGGAUACAGCAUACUGGAAUUGCUUUGAAGACUAAAAUGUUGUACAUCUUCUUGUUUCUUUUAGACUUCACAAAAUAGCACCAAAGGGCUUCAAGCAAAGGGAUGGUAACGUCUGGAUUACCGUAUUUCAUCAAGUUUAAGAUGCUGUCAGUUAUAAGAUGAACCAUUUUUAAAUGUACCACGGAGGGGAAAAAAGUUGCCAAAUAAAGACGUCAUCAGUUAUAAGCUGAUUUUUUAAAAGCAA